rnacentral:rRNA from 1 species
GACAGAGGGUGCAAACGUUGUUCGGAAUUACUGGGCGUAAAGGGCGCGUAGGCGGCCUGCUAAGUCGAACGUGAAAUCCCUGGGCUCAACCCAGGAACUGCGUCCGAUACUGGUUGGCUUGAAUCCGGGAGAGGGACGUGGAAUUCCAGGUGUAGCGGUGAAAUGCGUAGAUAUCGGGAGGAACACCAGUGGCGAAGGCGGAGACCUGGGCCGAUACUGACGCUGAGGUGCGAAAGCGUGGGGAGCAAACAGG